GACGAACGCUGGCGGCGUGCCUAAUACAUGCAAGUCGAACGAACCGCGACUAAGUGCUUGCACUAAGUCAAGGUGAGUGGCGAACGGGUGAGUAACACGUGGGUAACCUACCUCAUAGUGGGGGAUAACAGUCGGAAACGACUGCUAAUACCGCAUAGGACAUAGGAUCACAUGAUCCAGUGAGGAAAGGUGGCGCAAGCUAUCGCUAAGAGAUGGACCCGCGGUGCAUUAGCUAGUUGGUAGGGUAAAGGCCUACCAAGGCGAUGAUGCAUAGCCGACCUGAAGGGGUGAUCGGCCACAUUGGGACUGAGACACGGCCCAAACUCCUACGGGAGGCAGCAGUAGGGAAUCUUCCGCAAUGGACGCAAGUCUGACGGAGCAACGCCGCGUGAGUGAAGAAGGUCUUCGGAUCGUAAAGCUCUGUUGUUAGAGAAGAACAGCGCAUAGAGUAACUGCUAUGCGUGUGACGGUAUCUAACCAGAAAGCCACGGCUAACUACGUG
rnacentral:rRNA from 1 species